rnacentral:rRNA from 1 species
UACGUAGGGACCAAGCGUUGUCCGGAAUCAUUGGGCGUAAAGCGCGUGUAGGCGGCCCGGUAAGUCCGCUGUGAAAGUCCAGGGCUCAACCCUGGAAAGCCGGUGGAUACUGUCGGGCUAGAGUCCGGAAGAGGCGAGUGGAAUUCCUGGUGUAGCGGUGGAAUGCGCAGAUAUCAGGAGGAACACCGAUGGCGAAGGCAGCUCGCUGGGACGGUACUGACGCUGAGGCGCGAAAGCGUGGGGAGCGAACAGG